rnacentral:rRNA from 1 species
GACGAACCGUCCAAACGUUAUUCGGAAUCACUGGGCUUACAGAGUUCGUAGGCGGUCUGGAAAGUUGGGUGUGAAAUCCCUCGGCCUAACCGAGGAACUGCGCUUGAAACUACCAGACUCGAGGGAGAUAGAGGAAAGCGGAACUGAUGGUGGAGCGGUGAAAUGCGUAGAGAUCGGAAAGAACACCAACGGCGAAAGCACUCUGCUGGGCCGACACUGACACUGAGAGACGAAAGCUAGGGGAGCGAAUGGG